AUUCGCUGGGAGCGCGCGCGGGGAUCGUCCCAUGGCCGGGGCUCGGAGCCGCGACCCUUGGGGGGCCUCCGGGAUUUGCUACCUUUUUGGCUCCCUGCUCGUCGAACUGCUUUUCUCACGGGCUGUCGCCUUCAAUCUGGACGUGAUGGGUGCGUUGCUCAAGGAGGGCGAGCCAGGCAGCCUCUUCGGCUUCUCUGUGGCCCUGCACCGGCAGUUGCAGCCCCAACCCCAGAGCUGGCUGCUGGUGGGUGCUCCCCAGGCCCUGGCUCUUCCUGGGCAGCAGGCGAAUCGCACUGGAGGCCUCUUCGCUUGCCCCUUGAGCCUGGAGGAGACUGACUGCUACAGAGUGGACAUCGACCAGGGAGGUGUGGCCCUGCAUGAACAGAGUGGGGGAAACGUGUGAGCGGGGAGGAGAGGACUUGGGCUCCUCUUCCCUCCCCUAAUUCCCAGUGUCCUCCCUCUAGCUGAUAUGCAAAAGGAAAGCAAGGAGAACCAGUGGUUGGGAGUCAGUGUUCGGAGCCAGGGGCCUGGGGGCAAGAUUGUUGUGAGUAUUGCUUCUCAUGACUGAAUGCACGGAUGGGGUGUGUG
rnacentral:sRNA from 1 species